GAUCCUGGCUCAGGACGAACGCUGGCGGCGUGCCUAAUACAUGCAAGUAGAACGCACAGUUUAUACCGUAGCUUGCUACACCAUAGACUGUGAGUUGCGAACGGGUGAGUAACGCGUAGGUAACCUGCCUGGUAGCGGGGGAUAACUAUUGGAACGAUAGCUAUACCGCAUAAUAUUAAUUAUUGCAUGAUAAUUAAAUUUGAAAGGUGCAAUUGCACCACUACCAGAUGG
rnacentral:rRNA from 1 species